CUCAAUUUUCACUGUAAAAAAUAAACAAAACUGAAAUAUAAGAAAUGUAUUUUAAUCACCUUACAUUACCUUACAUUCCUGCUGCCCCCAUGUAGCUCAGAUCACACAGCUGAAAGUAGAAUAAUGCAUACAGUAGUUUUAUUGUCCACUACUCAGUAGUCACAUAUCAAGAAUACUAAAUACCAGUGUGGUCAUGAUAGUAUGACAAAAGGUGACUAUUUUCUUUGUCGAGCAUCUUUAGAGCAUUUGUAGAACAGUAUGUUACUGCAGCCUGCAAAUAUAUCCUAAUGUGUACAAAGAAUCCUCUAUUCGUUAGAUUCUAAUCAGGAAACAGGCAACAGCACAUUUUUGCUACCAUUCUACAAAACUGGUAUCCAUACUUGCUCUGGACACAUUGACAGUCAUUAGAAUUAAAAUUAUCUAAGAACUGCAUUUUAUGGAAAUCUAUACCUAUAAAAUUAUUUGAAU